rnacentral:rRNA from 1 species
GAUGAACGCUAGCUACAGGCUUAACACAUGCAAGUCGAGGGGCAGCAUGGUCUUAGCUUGCUAAGGCCGAUGGCGACCGGCGCACGGGUGAGUAACGCGUAUCCAACCUUCCCCAUAGUAGGGCAUAGCCCGUAGAAAUGCGGAUUAAUACCCUAUGUUUUCCGAAGCAGACAUCUAAUUUGGAACAAAGGUUCACCGCUAUGGGAUGGGGAUGCGUCUGAUUAGGUUGUUGGCGGGGUAACGGCCCACCAAGCCAUCGAUCAGUAGGGGUUCUGAGAGGAAGGUCCCCCACAUUGGAACUGAGACACGGUCCAAACUCC